GGGGAGUGCGGCAGCCUACCAUGCAAGUCGAACGGUAGCACAGAGAGCUUGCUCUCGGGUGACGAGUGGCGGACGGGUGAGUAAUGUCUGGGAAACUGCCUGAUGGAGGGGGAUAACUACUGGAAACGGUAGCUAAUACCGCAUAACGUCGCAAGACCAAAGAGGGGGACCUUCGGGCCUCUUGCCAUCAGAUGUGCCCAGAUGGGAUUAGCUAGUAGGUGGGGUAACGGCUCACCUAGGCGACGAUCCCUAGCUGGUCUGAGAGGAUGACCAGCCACACUGGAACUGAGACACGGUCCAGACUCCUACGGGAGGCAGCAGUGGGGAAUAUUGCACAAUGGGCGCAAGCCUGAUGCAGCCAUGCCGCGUGUAUGAAGAAGGCCUUCGGGUUGUAAAGUA
rnacentral:rRNA from 1 species